rnacentral:rRNA from 1 species
GUUAUAUUUAAAGCCCCCGAAUGCAGGUGAUCUUCCCCUGGCCAGGCUGAAGAACGGACAAAUUCCGUGUUGGAGGGCCGAACCCGUGAACGUGGCAAAGUUCUGGGAUGAGCUGGGGGAGGGAGUGAAAGGCUAAUCAAACUUGCGUAUAGCUGGUUUUUGACGAAAAGCAUUAAGGUGCUACUAUAAUCUUAAAUAGUUGUAAACUCAGGGACAAUCCUAGGAGCGGGCAGGUCUAAGCUGCAACUCUCCUGUGAUGACCGUGAAGAGUACAAAAAAUGGAUUGUAAGUUAGGCAGUGGAUGCUAAGGUCCUCUGCCGAGAAGGAAACAACCUAGAAAGAUCUUAAAGGUCCCUAAGCAUAGACUUAAAACUUGAUUUUUCAAGUUUUAGCAUAGUGGGUAUGGAAGUUUUAUCGCGUAGACCCUCAGAAGAUAGGCUUGGAAACAGCCAGUCUAGAAUGAAAACGUAAUAGUUCACUGAGAGAGCUUUAAAGCGCCCAAUAUUAACGGGGCUUAAGCCUAUCACCUUAAAGUCUUUAUGUGAAUAUC